rnacentral:tRNA from 1 species
CAGAGGGUAGUUUAUAUAAAAUUUUAAUUUUGGGAAUUAGUGAUGGGUUAUCUCCCUCCUCUGA